UGCUGGAAGCAAAAGCAGCGAGACACCUAAAGCUUAAUACACCAUUUUCCCACAAAUACUGUGAUGAAGACGAUGAGGCUCCUCUGCUUGCUCGUGCUGCUGUUGCUAUGGACGGCAACGGCACGAGCAUCCGCUGGCGUGCAUGGAAGCCGGGCCGGGAACAGGAGUGCUCUUCCCUCCCUUGCCGGCUGUCAGAAGAAUUGUGGCAACCUCAGCUUCGACUACCCGUUCGGCAUAGGGCCGGGCUGCUUCCGGCCGCCGCGGCGAGACUUUGAGCUCUUCUGCAACAGAACCCCCGAUGCGUCGCAGCCUCCCAGACUCUUCCUGUACGACGGCAUCACCGAGGUCGUCGAUGACAUCACGGCCGGCGAUCGCUAUGGCGAACAAUAUAUCGAGGUAUCGUUUUCCCAAUCCGUCCCGGUGAGACCUGAGGAGGAUGCAUACAUCAUCUCGUGGAAUCCUGGGAGAUCUCCCGGUGGCUAUUCUUUACAAUUAAACUUCACUGGUUGCGACUUCGACAUGUAUGUGCUCGAUCACGAUACGAACAAGACGGUGGGUCAGUGCAAUUCUACAUGCCCUGACGAAGACAUCACGGACAAGGUGGCCAGCCUCAGGCAGGACUGCAACGGUACAGGAUGUUGCUCCACCGAUGUUAGGUCCGAGUUUACUACCGGCUUCGACAUCAAGUUCGUCCGCCACAAGAUUGGAAAGCUGAAGUUCAAAGCGCACAGUAACCGAAGCUCCAUAUGGGAUACAAUUGAUGUAAGCACUGAUUACGUCUUUAUCUCCUGGGGUAUCACCGUUGAUGAACCUGAUGGGCCCUUCCAAAACAGCACAGAUUAUGCAUGUCUCAGCAACAAUAGCACCAGUCGCCUGAUGUUUCAGUAUGAGUAUACUGGUCCUGCUCAGUAUUACUGUGACUGCGACGGUGGUUACGGAGGCAAUCCAUACAUAACGGAUGGCUGCUCGCGUGACAAAGGGUAUGAUCCGAAACAACGGAAGACCAACUGCUCUAGUCGGUGUGGGGAAAUCAAUGACCAUAUGUAAAGUCUAUAAAUAUCAUGGAGGGGCUAGUGAAUGUUAAAUACAGCUUAUAUGAAGAAGAGCACCUUUCGGUGAGGGUAGAUCAAGAUCCAGGCCACUAUGUUGCCUCCGGAGGUGUAGUACCACAACAGUGGGCCGUAGCCAAUUUAACAUGCCCCGAGGCACAGGCGAAUAAGACCGGAUAUGCAUGUGUCAGCAUGAAUAGCGAAUGCUUGGCUGUCCACUCCGAACGAGAAUAUUAUGGUUACCGUUGCACAUGUAUGGCCGGUUUUGAUGGGAAUCCAUAUACUAUCUCCGAUGGGUGCAAAGAUGUUGACGAGUGCAACACACCAGGCACAUGUAAUGGGACUUGUCACAAUACCGAAGGAGGUCACUAUUGCACCGAAUGUCCUAGAAAUACAAUGUAUGACACUGCAUUAAAGAUGUGCACAUCGACCAAAAAACAAAAUCUGGUACUAGGUAUCGCCAUUGGGAUUAGCGUUGGUUUUGGAAUUAUACUUCUCAUGUCAAUUGCAAUAUUACUCAUCCGUAGAUGGAAAAAAGACAUCAAGAAGAAACUGCGAAGAAAGCAUUUUCGGCAGAACCAAGGUCUACUCCUCGAGCAAUUGAUAUCAUCAGAUGAAAAUGCAAGUGACAACACUAAGAUUUUUUCACUAUCAGAGUUAGAAAAGGCAACAAAUGAUUUUGAUCCCACGCGUAUCGUUGGUCGUGGAGGGCAUGGCAUGGUUUAUAAAGGCAUCUUAUCCGAUCAACGGGUAGUGGCCAUAAAGAAGUCUAAAGUCAUUGAGCAAGUUGAGAUAAGCCAGUUUAUCAAUGAGGUUGCAGUUCUUUCCCAAAUAAAUCACCGGAAUAUUGUGAAGCUCUUGGGUUGUUGUCUUGAGACCGAAGUCCCACUGCUAGUGUAUGACUUCAUCCCUAAUGGUUCGUUAUUUGGAAUCCUUCAUGCCAGUACCACUAGCAGCUCUAUCUUCUCCCGGGAUGAUUGUUUGAAAAUUGCUGCGGAAGCUGCUGGAGCACUGUAUUACCUCCACUCAGCUGCUUCGGUAUCGAUAUUUCAUCGUGAUGUGAAGUCCACUAACAUACUCUUAGAUGGAAAUUACACUGCAAAAGUAUCAGAUUUUGGUGCUUCAAGGUUAGUUCCUAUUGACCAAACUCACGUUGUUACAAAUAUACAAGGCACAUUUGGAUACUUGGAUCCAGAAUAUUACCACACGGGUAUGUUGAAUGAGAAGAGUGAUGUCUACAGUUUUGGUGUAGUACUUGUAGAGUUGCUGCUCAGAAAGAAGCCUAUUUUUACAAGUGACUCUGGGCUAACGCAAAACUUGUCCAACUACUUUCUUUGGGAGAUGAGGGAGAAACCACUUGCAGAAAUAGUAGCUACUCAAGUUCUCGAGGAAGCAACAAAUGAAGAGAUAAAUGAUGUUGCCAAUCUUGCGGAGACUUGCUUGCAACUACGAGGUGAAGAGAGACCUACAAUGAAACAAGUGGAGAUGAAAUUGCAGUAUGUGCGAUCUAGAAGGUUGAGAUCAUCUCAGGUUGUUCUGAAAAAUGAAGGCAUGCAACCCUUGUCAAGUGGACAAAGCCAAGACACUCUUCCGCUGUUGACUACUCCGAGUGGUAGAGUAGACCGAUUUAAUAUAGCUUCUCAAAGGAACCAAAAUUGCUACAGCUUGGAGCAAGAGUUCAUGGCAUCGGCGACUCUCCCGCGCUAGCUGAUCAUGUUCUCAACAUUAAUGUGUGGUUGUCUGCCUUUUUUAUUGAAGAGCUAUAUUAUUUUUUUGUCGUUUGAUGGAGAGGGUAAAGUAUAGUCUGUAUAAUGCAGUAAAUAAUGUCCGGUUUAUCGUAUU